UACGUAGGGUCCAAGCGUUAAUCGGAAUUACUGGGCGUAAAGCGUGCGCAGGCGGUUGUGUAAGUCAGAUGUGAAAUCCCCGGGCUCAACCUGGGAAUUGCAUUUGAGACUGCACGGCUAGAGUGUGUCAGAGGGGGGUAGAAUUCCACGUGUAGCAGUGAAAUGCGUAGAGAUGUGGAGGAAUACCGAUGGCGAAGGCAGCCCCCUGGGAUAACACUGACGCUCAGGCACGAAAGCGUGGGGAGCAAACAGG
rnacentral:rRNA from 1 species